AAACUAUUAGGUUGGUGCAAAAGUAAUUGCAGUUUUUGCCAUUACUUUCAAGGGCAAAAAUUGCAAUUAUUUUUGCACCAACCUAUUAU
rnacentral:miRNA from 1 species